rnacentral:rRNA from 1 species
AGCGGCGGACGGGUGAGUAACACGUGGAUAACCUACCUAUAAGACUGGGAUAACUUCGGGAAACCGGAGCUAAUACCGGAUAACAUAUUGAACCGCAUGGUUCAAUAGUGAAAGGCGGCUUUGCUGUCACUUAUAGAUGGAUCCGCGCCGUAUUAGCUAGUUGGUAAGGUAACGGCUUACCAAGGCAACGAUACGUAGCCGACCUGAGAGGGUGAUCGGCCACACUGGAACUGAGACACGGUCCAGACUCCUACGGGAGGCAGCAGUAGGGAAUCUUCCGCAAUGGGCGAAAGCCUGACGGAGCAACGCCGCGUGAGUGAUGAAGGUCUUCGGAUCGUAAAACUCUGUUAUCAGGGAAGAACAAAUGUGUAAGUAACUGUGCACAUCUUGACGGUACCUGAUCAGAAAGCCACGGCUAACUACGUGCCAGCAGCCGCGGUAAUACGUAGGUGGCAAGCGUUAUCCGGAAUUAUUGGGCGUAAAGCGCGCGUAGGCGGUUUUUUAAGUCUGAUGUGAAAGCCCACGGCUCAACCGUGGAGGGUCAUUGGAAACUGGAAAACUUGAGUGCAGAAGAGGAAAGUGGAAUUCCAUGUGUAGCGGUGAAAUGCGCAGAGAUAUGGAGGAACACCAGUGGCGAAGGCGACUUUCUGGUCUGUAACUGACGCUGAUGUGCGAAAGCGUGGGGAUCAAACAGGGAUUAGAUACCCUGGUAGUCCACGCCGUAAACGAUGAGUGCUAAGUGUUAGGGGGUUUCCGCCCCUUAGUGCUGCAGCUAACGCAUUAAGCACUCCGCCUGGGGAGUACGACCGCAAGGUUGAAACUCAAAGGAAUUGACGGGGACCCGCACAAGCGGUGGAGCAUGUGGUUUAAUUCGAAGCAACGCGAAGAACCUUACCAAAUCUUGACAUCCUUUGACCGCUCUAGAGAUAGAGUCUUCCCCUUCGGGGGACAAAGUGACAGGUGGUGCAUGGUUGUCGUCAGCUCGUGUCGUGAGAUGUUGGGUUAAGUCCCGCAACGAGCGCAACCCUUAAGCUUAGUUGCCAUCAUUAAGUUGGGCACUCUAAGUUGACUGCCGGUGACAAACCGGAGGAAGGUGGGGAUGACGUCAAAUCAUCAUGCCCCUUAUGAUUUGGGCUACACACGUGCUACAAUGGACAAUACAAAGGGCAGCUAAACCGCGAGGUCAAGCAAAUCCCAUAAAGUUGUUCUCAGUUCGGAUUGUAGUCUGCAACUCGACUACAUGAAGCUGGAAUCGCUAGUAAUCGUAGAUCAGCAUGCUACGGUGAAUACGUUCCCGGGUCUUGUACACACCGCCCGUCA